rnacentral:rRNA from 1 species
AUGCAAGUUGGGAUUGCAAACCUAUGCGCGGGGCAAGAAACCGUAGUAUCAGAACUCAAACAAUUUUCUGUUGAUCAGACAUUUUAUGCUUUCCAUGAUAAGGGUGUACAGGACAGAACAUAUUUUCCCAGAAGAUUGUUAGGGUCAAGGUUAAACACAGCCACUGCCAUUGCUAACGCGCCCACGUGCAUCAAGUUGAUGGUGGCUGCUUCAGAGGCGUCUCAUCUUGUUGGGCGAGAGAAAGACAAAUCUCACAUUAUUAAGAAACUAAUUUCAUAUCAAGGUACCCAAGAAAGACAGGUGAUCUCGGUGUGGGGGAUGAGUGGUGUUGGAAAAACCACCCUAGUUAAAGAUAGAGUGAAUUCCACUUUUUACCCCAUAUUUGUACAUUUGUGA